AAACGACUCUCGGCAACGGAUAUCUCGGCUCUUGCAUCGAUGAAGAACGUAGCGAAAUGCGAUACUUGGUGUGAAUUGCAGAAUCCCGUGAACCAUCGAGUCUUUGAACGCAAGUUGCGCCCGAAGCCAUUAGGCUGAGGGCACGUCUGCCUGGGCGUCACG
rnacentral:rRNA from 1 species